rnacentral:rRNA from 1 species
CCUACGUGAGGCAGCAGUGGGGAAUAUUGCGCAAUGGGCGAAAGCCUGACGCAGCGACGCCGCGUGAGGGAUGAAGGUCUUCGGAUCGUAAACCUCUGUCAGCAGGGAAGAACGGUCACUGUGCUAAUCAGCAGUGAAUUGACGGUACCUGCAACGGAAGCACCGGCUAACUCCGUGCCAGCAGCCGCGGUAAUACGGAGGGUGCGAGCGUUAAUCGGAAUUACUGGGCGUAAAGCGCUCGUAGGCGGUAUGUCAAGUCAAGGGUGAAAUCCCCGCGCUCAACGUGGGAACUGCCUUUGAAACUGGCAAACUGGAGUGUGUGAGAGGAUAGUGGAAGUCCAGGUGUAGGAGUGAAAUCCGUAGAUAUCUGGAGGAACAUCAGUGGCGAAGGCGACUAUCUGGCACAUAACUGACGCUGAGGAGCAAAAGCGUGGGUAGCAAACAGGAUUAGAUACCCGUGUAGUC